UGUCCCGGAAUAACACGAGUUGGUCACGAAUGUACUCGCCUACUUGCCGGAAUGACACGAGUAGUUACGAAUACAAUCUUUGAGUGAGCGACUCUACACAAAGAUUAAUGCGUUGUAUGCCCGCGCAAAGCAACAAUCAUGGAGCCAGUUGUGAAAAUCGUCACUACUAUCUCUGAUCUCCGUUCCAAAAACCCGGGGUCUGCUGCGCUACACUUCCAUGGGAGAUAACUCAUCAUAUUUGAUAUCCGGUUUAUGAUAAACAUGCUUCGACGAAGUUUGACGUGCAUUUGUCGAUAUUCUGGUCGACUGAUGUCGCCCACUACAUUACAUGUAACAAGAACACUGACAUCGGGCUAUAGAAGUCAAUAUAGCAUUGACAAGAUAUACCCAAAUAGCGAUCAAGAUUAUUUUGGCUCAACAGCAUUCACGCAAUCAAGUUCAGUAACACCGGAUGGGAAAGAGCUGUUUUCAGGAUAUAUUCCAAUAAAUAAACUUGACAUCAAGUAUUCUAGGAAGUGGCCCAGGAGGUCAG